rnacentral:rRNA from 1 species
CAGCAGCCACGGUAAUACGAAGGGUGCAAGCGUUAAUCGGAAUUACUGGGCGUAAAGCGUGCGUAGGCGGUGAGUUAAGUCUGCUGUGAAAUCCCCGGGCUCAACCUGGGAAUGGCAGUGGAUACUGGCUCGCUAGAGUGUGUCAGAGGAUGGUGGGAUUCCCGGUGUAGCGGUGAAAUGCGUAGAGAUCAGGAGGAACAUCAGUGGCGAAGGCGGCCAUCUGGGACAACACUGACGCUGAGGCACGAAAGCGUGGGGAGCAAACAGGAUUAGAUACCCCAGUAGUCCCUGUCUCUUAUAU